GGCGACUGGUAGCCAAGCCCCAAAAAUUGCAUGGUAGCUCUGCAUAGAGCCUGCAUGUUUUAGGAGCAAACUCCAGAUCUCCCGUUUCCUCUCUGGAUUUCUGCUGAGAGAAAAUG